UACGGGGGGGGCAAGCGUUGUUCGGAAUUACUGGGCGUAAAGGGCUCGUAGGCGGCCAACUAAGUCAGACGUGAAAUCCCUCGGCUUAACCGGGGAACUGCGUCUGAUACUGGAUGGCUUGAGAUUGGGAGAGGGAUGCGGAAUUCCAGGUGUAGCGGUGAAAUGCGUAGAUAUCUGGAGGAACACCGGUGGCGAAGGCGGCAUCCUGGACCAACACUGACGCUGAGGCACGAAAGCGUGGGGAGCAAACAGG
rnacentral:rRNA from 1 species